rnacentral:lncRNA from 1 species
AUGGGGAGAGUUAGGGUGUUACUUGUGGCCCCUCCUCUGAUCUCCCCUCCUUCCCCUAGCUGGGUGCUGAGGGCCCCACCCUUGGGAGCUCCCAUGGCAGGACGGGAGUCAGUGUGGGGCCCUCCCGGGCCCGAGGCUGGCCGGCCCGGUUCAGCACACCCCCACCGCUGCCUUCAGGCCGGCCAGGGGGACAGUCGGGUCGGGACUGUGGGUCCUCUCUGGGUCCUCUCAGCUGGGGCUGCAGGGACCACCCUCCCCUCCCCACCCCGCCCCCGCCCCCGGCCAGGCACCGAAAAUGGCUCAACACAUGCUCCUUGCAUGAAUGAAUGCACCAUGAUAAUUGCUAAGGAGAGAGACGGGCAGAUGGUCUGUUUUGAGGUUCCGCGAGCAUGUGGCGUGUUCGCGCCCCUGCGCAUGUGCAUUUGCGUGCACGCGUGCACGGCUGUGCGUGCGCGUGUGUGCAUCGCGCGGGCCGUGCCUGGAUGUGUGCGUCACGCGUCUGUGUGCAGGUCCCGGGGGUGGGGGUGGGGGGGGGGGGCGCUGCCUGGGCGCGUGCCGGUGCGCGUGCGCCACGUGUGCACGAGCGUGUGCGCGCCACUUCCUGCUCAGGGGCGGAGGGGUCCGCGCGUCCUCCUCUCACGUCUGCCCUCUCUCCCGGGCCUGCAGGCUGCCUUCCGGCCCCUGGCUUUCCGCGACCUCCCAGCCCCGUCUCCGCCUCCCCAGCCCCGCCAAGGCCCCCCCCCCCAAAGACUCCAGCCCCAGCCGGGCUUCGGUUCGGACAUUCCAGCCCGCCACACUCAGGGCCCAGACUUUUCCCCGGAGCCUGAAUCCGACUCAAGGGCGCGUCAAGCGCGCCAUCCUGGACGGAUGCCUCUGCCUCUCUCGGUCUUCCUGUCUGUAAAGUGGGCACGGAGCUCACAGACACACCCAAAGGGCGAGGCCAGCACCUCCUACGUGGUGAGUGCGCACCAGAUGUCGCCCACCACCGUGGCGCUUCCAACCGCAGUGAUGGUGACGACCGUCCUGGGGGGGGGGGGGCAGGGUCCCAGGUGA